GCGCCGGGGCACACCUCUUCCCAUUCCGAACAGAGAAGUUAAGCCCGGCCGCGCCGAUGGUACUGCCAGACCCGGUGGGAGAGUAGGUCGUCGCCCAAU
rnacentral:rRNA from 1 species